CGUUCCCGGACCUUGUACACACCGCCCGUCAAGCCAUGGAAGCUGGGAAGACCUGAAGGCAGUUGCUGCGAGGCGCUGUUUAGGGUAAAACCGGUGACUGGGGCU
rnacentral:rRNA from 1 species